AUGAACGCUAGCGGCAGGCUUAACACAUGCAAGUCGAGGGGCAGCAUGAGACUGAGAUUCGUCGAAGUCUUGAUGGCGACCGGCGCAAGGGUGCGUAACGCGUGAGCAACUUGCCCGUUUCAGGGGGGAUAACCGUUGGAAAACGACGACUAAUACCCCAUGGCAUCAUAAGGAGGCAUCUCCAUAUGAUUAAAGAUUUUAUCGGUGAUGGAUGAGGAUGCGUACGAUUAGCUAGUUGGCGGGGUAACGGCCCACCAAGGCGACGAUCGUUAGGGGUUCUGAGAGGAAGGUCCCCCACACUGGAACUGAGACACGGUCCAGACUCCUACGGGAGGCAGCAGUGAGGAAUAUUGGUCAAUGGGCGGGAGCCUGAACCAGCCAAGUAGCGUGAAGGAUGACUGCCCUACGGGUUGUAAACUUCUUUUGUUUGGGAAUAAAUGAUACUACGUGCAGUAUUUUGCAUGUACCUUACGAAUAAGCAUCGGCUAAUUCCGUG
rnacentral:rRNA from 1 species